rnacentral:rRNA from 1 species
ACGAGGGAGCACGUGAAAUUCAGUCGGAAUCUGGGAGGACCAUCUCCUAGGGCUAAAUACUCUCUAGUGACCGAUAGUGAACCAGUACCGUGAGGGAAAGGAGAAAAGCACCCCGGGAGGGGAGUGAAAAAGAACCUGAAACCGAGAGCGUACAAGUAGUCAGAGCACGUUAAAGGGAGAUGGCAUGCCGUUUGUAGAAUGAACCGGCGAAUUACGAUUUGAUGCAAGUGUAAUCAGUAAAUGUGAAGCCGUAGCGAAAGCGAUUCUGAUUAGGGCGUGUAGUGUUUGGUCGUAGACCCGAAACCCGGAGAUCUACCCUAGGUCA